rnacentral:rRNA from 1 species
UGAGGAACAUGACCUUCGGCGGGGGAUAGCCGGCCCAACGGCCGGGUAAUACCGCGUACGACCACAUGGGGACACCCCUGAGUGGUGAAAGCAGCAAUGCGCCGAUGGAGUGCCUCGCGGCCUAUCAGCUAGUUGGUGAGGUAACGCUCACCAAGGCGACGACGGGUAGCUGGUCUGAGAGGAUGGCCAGCCACAUUGGGACUGAGACACGGCCCAGACCUCCGUACGGGGAGCAG